rnacentral:rRNA from 1 species
AUUCCAGCUCCAAUAGCGUAUAUUAAAGUUGUUGCAGUUAAAAAGCUCGUAGUUGGAUUUGUGGUGUACUUCGGCGGCCCGUCACUAUGUGAUGGAGCUUGCUGAAGUCGCCAUCCUUGGGUGGAUCCUGUGUGGCAUUAAGUUGUCGUGCAGGGGAUGCCCAUCGUUUACUGUGAAAAAAUUAGAGUGUUCAAAGCAGGCUUAUGCCGUUGAAUAUAUUAGCAUGGAAUAAUAAGAUAGGACCUUGGUCUAUUUUGUUGGUUUGCAUUCCAAGGUAAUGAUUAAUAGGGAUAGUUGGGGUUAUUCGUAUUCAAUUGUCAGAGGUGAAAUUCUUGGAUUUAUGGAAGACGAACUACUGCGAAAGCAUUUACCAAGGAUGUUUUCAUUG